rnacentral:rRNA from 1 species
GUGAGGAAUAUUGGUCAAUGGACGGAAGUCUGAACCAGCCAUGCCGCGUGCAGGAAUAAGGUCCUAUGGAUUGUAAACUGCUUUUAUUCGGGAAUAAACCUCUUUACGUGUAGGGAGCUGAAGGUACCGAAGGAAUAAGCACCGGCUAACUCCGUGCCAGCAGCCGCGGUAAUACGGAGGGUGCAAGCGUUAUCCGGAAUCACUGGGUUUAAAGGGUACGUAGGCGGUUAAUUAAGUCAGUAGUGAAAGACUGUCGCUCAACGACGGAUGUGCUAUUGAUACUGGUUAACUUGAAUCAGGUUAGAGUUGGCGGAAUGGGUCAUGUAGCGGUGAAAUGCUUAGAUAUGACUUGGAACGCCGAUAGCGAAGGCAGCUGACUGAGCCUUGAUUGACGCUGAGGUACGAAAGUGUGGGUAGCGAACAGGAUUAGAAACCCUGGUAGUCC